CUUUGGCUUCUGAGUUUCAACCAAGUUGGCACAUUCCAGGUUCCUUAAUGCUUUCUCUGUAGCAGCACCUGCCCUCUGGAACAAGGAUCAUUCCAAGAUUCAAAUGCCCCAACCUUCUGGUGUUUUGAAAGGCCCUGAAGACUUAACUCUUUAUCCAAGCCUUUGGUGAGGAUGAUUGAUGCCUCUUUUCUUCCUUCUUGUUCCCAUCCAGGUGUCUAUAAUAAUCGGUUCUGUUUGUUGGUCUGGAGGAAAUGAGGAUAGCAUCCUUCGGUUGCCUAGAAAUUCAAACCAGUCUUUGUCAUUUCUCUUCCCCACAACUGGACAGGACUUUACAGAGAUGGUUCUCAAAAGUAACUUAUCUUCCCCAACUGAGAAAAUAAAGUCAGAGCUGAGGACAUUGUUUAUUGGUGGUAUAGAAGUGCCAUAAAUAAAUGAAUAAGCAAUUAAGAAAGAUAAAAAUUAAGAAGGAUAAAAGCGACUGCACAAACUCUGAGCUAAAAUAAGCCGCACAAAUUGCAGACAAAAAAGAAGACCUCACGGCCAAAUUCAAGGGGUAUUUAUAGAUUUAAGAAUAUAGAGCGCAGCUGUGUGUUCAUGACACACUCACCAAUGGUCAAUGUAAACCUGAUUUAUAAAACAUAACUGUGUUAAAAACUACUUAUCAGCAUAUCUCUGUUAAGGUCAUAUUCUCUAUAAUAUACAACCAGAAAUACUACCCAUUAUGUGACAUUCUACAGGACCAACUCUUAAGAGCCUGACACCCUAGACCAGGAGUGUCAAACUGCCGGCCCGCGGACUGGUUUCAUCAUACCGAAGCCACGCCCACCCCAUUGCCAGCAAUGCAAAAAGAGUCGCGACAAGUCGCGUGACGUGUCAAGUUUGACACCCAUGCCCUAGAUAGUAGUUAUUAGAGAACAGGUAAUGAUAUCAAAAGUAUUAGAGAACAAAAAUGAUUUAUUUUUUAAAAAAAGAUUUUUAUUAAUUUUUUUAUACAUUCAAUAGUAUUUGUUCAACAAAUGUGCUGAGUUUACAUUCACUAAUACAUAUUUAGUUCCUAAUCUAGAAUAAAAAUUAUUUCUUCUGCAGCUUCUUAAAUAGGAUGCUAUCUUCAGGUGUUAAAAGAAACAUUGUUCUAUAAUUAAUAUGGAAUUACUAUACAACACCCAAUCUGAUCAUGUUCUGUAAACUGAGCAAGGAGCUGACUUGUCCAUUUGCAAUAAAAUAUCUUUCAUCUACUGGUCAGGGCUUCAGUGCAGAUU